AGAACGAACGCUGGCGGCAGGCCUAACACAUGCAAGUCGAGCGGACCUUUCGGGGUCAGCGGCGGACGGGUGAGUAACGCGUGGGAAUAUGCCCUUUGCUACGGAAUAGUCCUGGGAAACUGGGGGUAAUACCGUAUACGCCCUAUUGGGGAAAGAUUUAUCGGCGAAGGAUUAGCCCGCGUUGGAUUAGGUAGUUGGUGGGGUAAUGGCCUACCAAGCCGACGAUCCAUAGCUGGUUUGAGAGGAUGAUCAGCCACACUGGGACUGAGACACGGCCCAGACUCCUACGGGAGGCAGCAGUGGGGGAAUCUUAGACAAUGGGGGCAACCCUGAUCUAGCCAUGCCGCGUGAGUGAUGAAGGCCUUAGGGUUGUAAAGCUCUUUCAGCUGGGAAGAUAAUGACGGUACCAGCAGAAGAAGCCCCGGCUAACUCCGUGCCAGCAGCCGC
rnacentral:rRNA from 1 species